GACCUGGUGGUACAUGGCUGUACGCUUUCGACAUUGUAGGUAAUAGGGCUCCCGGAUCCCCCUCGACGAAAUGCCCCUGGUUCGAUUCCAGGCUGGGUCA